rnacentral:rRNA from 1 species
CGUAGGGGGCCAGCGUUGUUCGGAAUCACUGGGCGUAAAGGGCGCGUAGGCGGCCCUCCUUGUCGCGUGUGAAAGCCCCGGGCUCAACCUGGGAACGGCGCGCGAGACGGGGGGGCUGGAGUUCGGGAGAGGAGCGUGGAAUUCCCAGUGUAGAGGUGAAAUUCGUAGAUAUUGGGAAGAACACCGGUGGCGAAGGCGGCGCUCUGGACCGAGACUGACACUGAGAGACGAAAGCUAGGGGAGCGAAUGGG